CCGGGUUCUCAGGGCGGGGCGGAAUUCCCCACCGGCGGUAAGCAGCGAUGCAAGCCCGCGAGCGCCUUGCCCCGGCAAGGGUCAGCAGACCAGGUGCGAUUCCUGGGCCGACGGUCACAGUCCGGAUGGAAGAGAGCGUGC
rnacentral:ncRNA from 1 species